CGUAUAAAAGACUGAGAGAGAGACUCGACGGACGGAUACUGAAUAGCGCAGUAUCCCUCAACGCCUGAUACCAGCUGAUUGUACCUUGAUUUUCUUAACUUUACUAUUGUACUUAUACAUAUGUUUUGUUAACUUUGAUAAAAACUUAUAUUAUAUUAUUGACAAGUUAUUGUCUAUAAGAGUAGUAAUUUAAGAGCCGUAAGCAAGAACUGACCACAGGGAAGUCUGCUUAGCAAAUUGUAAGUACUUUUGUAAUGCUUAUAGUUUUGUCCAGAGUCGACUUUCUUUACCUACCUGAUAAUAAUAAAUAAAUAGCUAAAUGGUGUAUAGAUAAAGGAGACCCCAUAAAACACUGGAAUAACAUGAAGAAACUGAACAAACGGAGACAGACUCAAUCCAGAAGAACUGUGAUUUUGGAUUUAGUCUGUCUUAGUUUGUUCUGUAACUCUGGAAUGUUUCCAAAUAUAUUAUACUAAUUUAACCUGCAUAAACUUUCCCUUUCAGAUGAAAAAGAUCAACAGCCUGAAACUAUUUUUCAUGCUACGAUGGUUCAUUAAUAGGUGCAGCAGAGUGAAACCCUCUUUUCUUUUUCAAAUAUAAAAUAUUUAUAAUAAUGUACAAUGUUUAGUUUUUGAACCUAUGUUCUACGAACACACAUUCCUUCAUUUAUUUGUGAUUUUAUUUCAGAAUUGUGAAAUUCGAUGAAAUUUCAAAUGAUAAAUCAUUGUCCUCUGUUAAAUACAUUUUAAAUCAACAUUUGAAUUAAAUUUUAGUCUAACAUUAAUUAUUUGAGACAAAACUGACUAACAGAUUUAAAAAAUCUGUAUAAUUCCAUGUGUAUUAUAUUCAAUAUUCUAUUAAUACAACUGUGUUUAAUAACAGUGACUAAUCUUUUUAAAAGGCCUAUCUUUGUGUCAAUUUGUCUUGUCUUUUAGGUUGUGUUGACUGUUUUUCUACUUCUUCACCAUAGACAAAUGUUUCACAACUUCGACAGGAAAUGUAAAGUCUGAGAAAAACGGGACCACUGUACUGCAGGAUAGAGCUGAAUGUGGCAGUGCUGGACAGGUGUUUAAUGGUUUUGGGUUGAGCAGCGAGGCCCUGACAGAGCUGCUGGAUCUUUUGAGAAGUGAACGCCAACAGUGAUGGGUGCGACAAUCCAGACCCUGGUGUUUCUCCUCUAUCUGCUCUCUGUGGUACAUCAUAAAGAUGGUCUCCAAAGUGUUUGACAUGUGCCUCAUUCCACUGUCACUGCAUUGUCCUUCAAGUCUCUGCUUCAACAAGAGAUUCACCUCCUGAAGACCCCAGAACACAUGGAAGCAGCGCUGGGCUCAAACUGAUGUUGUUUUUCUGAUGUUAAACCUAAACUAUGCUGUAAAUGGUUGUAAAAAGUAUUUUCAAUAAUAGAGCAAUUUGUUUUAAUGUGUAAAAGAAAUAUUUACAGGAUGAAUUAAAAAGAAUGUUUUGAGAAAAAAAUUUAUAAGCUGCAUUAAACAAAUUAACAAUG